GACGAACGCUGGCGGCGUGCUUAACACAUGCAAGUCGAACGAAGAGCGAUGGAAGCUUGCUUCUAUCAAUCUUAGUGGCGAACGGGUGAGUAACGCGUAAUCAACCUGCCCUUCAGAGGGGGACAACAGUUGGAAACGACUGCUAAUACCGCAUACGAUCUAAUCUCGGCAUCGAGGAAAGAUGAAAGGUGGCCUCUAUUUAUAAGCUAUCACUGAAGGAGGGGAUUGCGUCUGAUUAGCUAGUUGGAGGGGUAACGGCCCACCAAGGCGAUGAUCAGUAGCCGGUCUGAGAGGAUGAACGGCCACAUUGGGACUGAGACACGGCCCAGACCCUACGGGAGGCAGCAGUGGGGAAUCUUCCGCAAUGGACGAAAGUCUGACGGAGCAACGCCGCGUGAGUGAUGACGGCCUUCGGGUUGUAAAGCUCUGUUAAUCGGGACGAAAGGCCUUCUUGCGAACAGUUAGAAG
rnacentral:rRNA from 1 species